rnacentral:tRNA from 1 species
AAGACGCUAGUAAAAUCAGCCAUUACACCACUUUGUCAAGGUGGAGUCGUGGGUUAAACCCCCGCGCGUCUUG